GUCCGGUUGGACGACGGAAAAAUCGAUGGGAGAGCAAGUGGCUUAGAGCCAGUUUUCCGGGGACAACUGCGUUUCCGGGGGACAACGUUCCUCGCACAUUGUCGAGUAAUCCUGGAAACAACUUGU